rnacentral:rRNA from 1 species
CAGUCGCCGCGGGAAUACGAAGGGUGCAAGCGUUACUCGGAAUUACUGGGCGUAAAGCGUGCGUAGGUGGUGGUUUAAGUCCGUUGUGAAAGCCCUGGGCUCAACCUGGGAAUUGCAGUGGAUACUGGGUCACUAGAGUGUGGUAGAGGAUAGUGGAAUUUCCGGUGUAGCAGUGAAAUGCGUAGAGAUCGGAAGGAACAUCUGUGGCGAAGGCGACUAUCUGGGCCAACACUGACACUGAGGCACAAAAGCGUGGGGAGCAAACAGGAUUAGAUACCCCAGUAGUCCCUGUCUCUUAUAC